rnacentral:tRNA from 1 species
UUCUUGAUGGUCCAGUGGUUACGACUCUGUGCUUCCAAUGCAGGGGGCAUGGGUUCGAUACCUGAUCAGGCAA